GGAAGGUAGAAACACACCAGAACCUCAUAAUUGUUUUUAGUGUGUGUUUCCCCCAGAAUAACACAUCCUCAUGUCUGUGCAUGCAUGGCACCCAUCUCCCUAGUGAACGACUGAGCAUGCUCAACGUGUGACACCUCCUGUUGGGGGUGAAGGUGGGGGAGCCCUGAUAAUGGAUUUAGAUGGAGAAAGAAGAGAAGCCUCCUUGCACAGGUGAGCGAAGCUGGGGACACCAGUCAGCACUUGGACCCACUUCGGUCUGGUAAGGAGGAAGGUCCAUGAUGAAGCCCCACGAGGCCCCGCAUUCCCUGCCAGCUCCUGCAAGGUGGAACGGCGCGAGGAGAAACGGUCCCGCUCCGUCCCUGAGCUGGCAGGGAACAGCCUGUUCUUCAGGGGCCGAGACUGCUCAGCUCACUGGCUCUGAAAUGUCACGUGGAGAAGGGUUCAAGGCUGCAGGACCCUGAACACAGCUGUGUGGAGCUCCAUUGUCCUGGACAUCAGCUACUCAGUCGCCUGAAGGUAAAGCACAUCCUAAGGUUUCCUUGACAACAGGUGGGGGCUGACAUUGAUUUGGCCCUGACUUUAGGCCAGGCCCUGCGUGAAGACACCUGACAUGCACCCUCACAAGAGUCCUAGGAAGUAGAUGUCACCAACAUCACCAUUCUGCAUAUGGGAAAACUGAGUCUCCUGGCUCAGGCGAUUAGCGGCCAAACGGAGCCCCACAAACAAGCGCGCUUCACUGGAGGACAGAGUCUGAGGGGGGAGGGAGGGAAAAGAGGGAGCGAGGAUGGCUGCCUGGGACAUGGGAGGGACAGUCACACUUGCUGAGUGCCCAGGAACUCUGCCGGAGCCGUCGGUCCUGUUACCAGGACCCCUGAGCUGCCCCCAGCCAUAGUAAGCGCUGACCAUUGUUGGUGAAUGAAUUCUCUUUCGGUUAAAUUCACAGAAAUCACAGGAAUUAUUUUGGCCAUUUCAUAAAAUAAGAAACAAGCUCAGAAAGGUUAAGUGCCUGUUGCAAGGUGACGUAGCAGUGCUAGGUGGAGUCGGGAUCCAAGCCCAGGUCCCCUUGGCUCCCCAGUGUAGCUCCUUCUACCAUCCUAAGGAGCGUCUCCCAGCUGGCGAAGGGCUCUGGGAAUGAGGAUCACCCUGAAAUCACCUGAAGACUCUUCCCUGGAAGCCCCUAAUAGCGGUGCUUUGGGGAGUGGGGAGUGUGGGGCAUGAGCUAGGGGUCCUCUGUCCCUCAGUGUCCUGGCUCCCCGGCCCCAUCCGGAAGCCUCACUGUGUUGUUUGACCCUGUUCUUAGGGCAGGGGUGCCUCCCGCCUCCCUCUCCUCUCUUCCACUCCAAAGCCCUUAUUUGCUCUGGGCGGCUUGGCAUGGCUCAGGAGCCUGCAUACCGCUGAGCAAUUCUUUUUUUUUUAAUAUUUUAUUUAUUUAUUCGUGAGAGACAGAGAGAGAGAGGCAGA
rnacentral:lncRNA from 12 species